UACAGAGGUUCCAAGCGUUGUUCGGAUUCACUGGGCGUAAAGGGUGCGUAGGCGGUCGGGUAAGUCUGAUGUGAAAUCUCCAAGCUUAACUUGGAAAUGGCAUCGGAUACUAUUCGGCUCGAGGAAUGGAGGGGAGACUGGAAUACUUGGUGUAGCAGUGAAAUGCGUAGAUAUCAAGUGGAACACCAGUGGCGAAGGCGAGUCUCUGGACAUUUCCUGACGCUGAGGCACGAAAGCCAGGGGAGCAAACGGG
rnacentral:rRNA from 1 species